ACGCUAUCACUCCUAACGGGAGGCAGCAGUGGGAAUAUGCACAAUGGGGGAAACCUGAUGCAGCCAUGCCGCGUGUGUGAAGAAGGCCUUCGGGUUGUAAAGCACUUUCAGUAGGGAGGAAGGUAGUGUAGUUAACACCUGCAUUAUUUGACGUUACCUACAGAAGAAGCACCGGCUAACUCCGUGCCAGCAGCCGCGGUAAUACGGAGGGUGCGAGCGUUAAUCGGAAUUACUGGGCGUAAAGCGCAUGCAGGCGGCCUGUUAAGUCAGAUGUGAAAGCCCGGGGCUUAACCUCGGAAUUGCAUUUGAAACUGGCAGGCUAGAGUCUUGUAGAGGGGGUAGAAUUUCAGGUGUAGCGGUGAAAUGCGUAGAGAUCUGAAGGAAUACCAGUGGCGAAGGCGGCCCCUGGACAAAGACUGACGCUCAGAUGCGAAAGCGUGGGGAGCAAACAGGAUUAGAUACCCUGGUAG
rnacentral:rRNA from 1 species